rnacentral:rRNA from 1 species
UACGUAGGGUCCGAGCGUUGUCCGGAAUUAUUGGGCGUAAAGGGCUCGUAGGCGGUUUGUCACGUCGGAAGUGAAAUCUUACAGCUUAACUGUGAACUUGCUUUCGAUACGGGCAGACUUGAGGCAUUCAGGGGAGAACGGAAUUCCUGGUGUAGCGGUGAAAUGCGUAGAUAUCUGGAGGAAUACCGGUGGCGAAGGCGGCAUCCUGGACCGACAUUGACGCUGAACGGCGAAAGCUAGGGGAGCAAACGGG